rnacentral:rRNA from 1 species
CAGUCGCCGCGGGAAUACAGAGGGUGCGAGCGUUAAUCGGUUUUACUGGGCGUAAAGCGUGCGUAGGCGGCUUUUUAAGUCGGAUGUGAAAUCCCUGAGCUUAACUUAGGAAUUGCAUUCGAUACUGGGAAGCUAGAGUAUGGGAGAGGAUGGUAGAAUUCCAGGUGUAGCGGUGAAAUGCGUAGAGAUCUGGAGGAAUACCGAUGGCGAAGGCAGCCAUCUGGCCUAAUACUGACGCUGAGGUACGAAAGCAUGGGGAGCAAACAGGAUUAGAUACCCGCGUAGUCCCUGUCUCUUAUAC